UAAGCCCUCCUAAGUCUCUUACAGACGCAGCUCCACACGAAACUACGUAUUAGUGACCAAACUUGCAAAUUUACACAAAGAAAUGAGCGCGUUAGGUAUAUAAUUGUAGUGUGUACUACAUGCGUAGCUUAAUUAUUGUGUUGUGUAUAAGAACUAUAGUUAUGUUUCCCACUUCACAUUAGGCUUUUUUUAUGAUAUCCCUACGGGAAUAGGCAGGAAGCUGG